rnacentral:sRNA from 1 species
GACAGCUGGAAUGCCAGAUGAAUAGUGGUCAUCAGCCCAUGUCCUGAGGAAUAUUUAGGAUGCUUAGAAAUGGGAAAGUCACCAAUUGACCGCUGUUGGAUGAAGGGAGUAGGCUCCGGAUUGUCUAGAAAGUUCACAAACUUGAUGGGAGUUGGGGGUGGAAAUCCUGCAGACCCAUCUGAGUUAAGGUUCCAAUGAAGGGUUCUGGGAAUUGGCACAGAACACACCCAGACACCAAAUUCUCAGCACAAAGGAGAUUUUAUUUGACAAGCAGAGGGGUGGGAAUGGGCUGUCUCCGGAUUGGCCAAGGACAGCGGCAGGUGGCUCUUCAGGAGAGGCUUGUAAGGAACAGAAAGGGAAGUCUGGGUUAGGUGAGUUGGUAAGUCCUGAUUGGACCUGUUAGCCAGUGUAGCAGAUAAUGAAUUUUGAUCUCUGGACCUUGGUGGUCAGCCUCAGGCUUGAGUUAGGCAUAAGGAAGUGGCCAAAUGAGGGAAGGCCCUUGGUGGCUAGCUUUAGGAAUUGGAAGUGGGGGAGGGAAGAUCUGUUGGUACUGUGUUUGUAAUGCUUGGGCCUGUUAGAAACCCUCUAGAAUAAUCUUGCCAUCCAUAAUAUAAAUAAAUGGCACUCAGAUAGUGUCUGGUGGACAGCUGCUGGUGCUCAAAGUCCCUUCAUUUGCACCAAAUAGUUGGGAUUUCUUGGAGGCUUAGAUAACCAGUAUUGAUGUCUCCACAUUUUCUCAGAGCAGAUGGUGUUAGACCAUGCACCUUACAGGAAGGCUGUUAUAGCAACCACAUAAGACACUUUGAGAAUAUCACUGAGCACUUCAAUAGAUUGAAGCUGUAGAUCAUUUUGUUCUUGUUCUUGCCAGACCUGAAUCCAGCAUACUCACCGUUUGUAUUUGGAGGAACACGUGGCUGGAACGGAUUCUGGAAUCAUCCUUUGAUACCUAAAAUGGGUGUGCAAGUUGACAGUGGACAAGAAGGCGUCUGGGAUUGAUGGAUCAGAUGAUGGGUCUGUGAAGACAAUGAAGCCAGGAAUUCCCAGUGAGCCCAGCCAGCCAUGCCUGAUCCAUCAAGGGAGGCACAACAUGCAAACCAAUAAAGAUCUUUCUACACAAUUGAAAGAGAAGAAGGAAUCACAGGAGAACGCCGUGUGCACAGGUCGGCCCUUCCCGAGAUCUGAGUUUGGUGACUGGGAUCUCUCCGGAUCUAGAAAUAAGCCACCUGGUUGUGGCCUACCAGACUGUUGUGUGAGUCUCAGGUCCUGUAACAAGAAGAGAAUACGCACACGGGAGCGCUUGGAUGUGCACAAAGGCAAGUGCUGCUCCAUAGAGAGAAAUGCAGUCAUUAGAAUGAACGCCCUUGGCUUGUUUAAUGUUUAAUAUGUACAGCUUUUAGGUAUGAUCUCUAUAGCCUGUUCACAUAUGAUCUUGACUCUCAAUCACCAUCCAGAUUCAAAAGGAACUGGAAGUUUGAAAAAUAGCUUUUAAUAACAAAGUUUACAAAAAGCUCUCAAGGUUGGAACACAUCACUAACAUGUGCUCAGAGACCAAAGAGAUCGAAUGGCUUGACUCUGCUGAGAGAGAGACUUGGCCAGUGUGCUUCUAAGAGGCAGAGAGGAGGAGGCCCACCCUCGGGGAGGACAUAUUUGCUUACAUGAAUCCAGCCUAUAGUGAGCAGCCCCAGUUCCUCCUGAAUCAUAAACAGCUCUCCUCAUUCUUCGUGUGACAAUAAUCAGGGCCUCUGUCUUGCUCUGGGAUAAUCACAUGUCUUAUGAGGUACACUUCUCUCACCUGCCAUGAGAAAACUUGUCACAAUUUCCUGGGGGCCAUAAUGACCCACAGUGGGCAGAAAUUUUCUUCUCCAAGUCGGGCCAGGGCUGACUGGGAGCUGUGACUGUGGACUUUGCUCUCAGCUUGAGUGGAUGGAGUGAUAUUUCUGGAUUUGACUGUGAAGUGAUUCUGAAGAAACUUAUGUGUGGUUCACAGACUCGGUAGGCAAGGCCCACCCUUCACUCAGGCAGCAAUGUGAAGCCAUCUGAGAGCCGCACUGGGAGAAGCAGUGUGGAGCAGACACUUCCUCUGCGUCUCCUGGGAUAGACAUGCUUGCUUUAGCUUUCUUCAUCAGAUAUCCAAGUCUGUUCACUCUGAGGAGUGAGCGUGUGGUUCUCUAGUCUCUUCAGAUUCUCAGACUGAGACUCACAAAAGUGGCUUCCCUGGUCUGUGCCUUUCAGACAUGGGCUGCGCCAAGCUACAGUAUUCCAGAGUGUCCGCCUGAAGAAAGCCUGCUGUGGGGAUGCUCAGGCAUAUUGCCACAGAAUGUCCCCAGUAGAGCGAUGCUGUAGGGACGGGGCAGCCCCUCGAGGCCCUGGAACUGCAGGGCGAUCAUGCGCUCAUGCAGCCUGGCAAAGCUGCAGCCCGAGACUCCAACUGUGAAAGCGAAUGUGCACUGAGCCCAGCACAGCCACAGCGGCAGGUCCUCAGCUUAGCUGGAGUCAGUCACCCCUCUCCCGAUUAUUUCUCCCAGAUGAACAGGAACUGAACAGCUGGCUCCUGCUCCUUCAUCACAUUUUGCCAGUGUGUGCUCUUCUGACUGCACAGGCUCACGGCUGCAGAAGGCUAACUCAUCAUCAGGAAGCCUGGUGGUUACAGCCAGGCAAGGCUGAUCAUCUCACCUGUGUCUAAUUGAGACAGCACUACAGUUAGAAGACUGUCCUCAUCCAAGAUGAAGUUUUUGACUCAUUCAAGUCAAAGGCCAUUUUUAUAAAUUAGGGUGGCAGGACACAAAAGGACAGCACUCAUCACACGAGGUUCUGCACCACAGCAGAAUAAGCAGGACCAUGGAAGCAGAGGAGACUGAGGACGUGGACGGGGGACGCAGCCUUCUCUGUGGUGCUCAGUGCCCCAGACUUCAGACACAUGUCCACCAGCACUGCCUGGCCUUACCAGUGAGCCCCAGUCUCACGCUGUGUGGCUGACCCAGACGCAUUGGGGACCACUUCUGCACAAGGCUUUUCCAAGGCAGGAACCUGUGGUAACUUACCUGGCCUUGUUUUCAUCACACUCCCCCAGGCUGAGUGGCUGAUGUGGGACUAAGUCGUCGUCAGAGGCUUCCUCUGGGCCACACCCCAGUGGUGGCUUGAAAGGUGCGGUUCCUGCUGAAGAGGCUUCAGCCUUUGUAGAUGACCAUGCUGCACCAGGGCGCACGCCCGCGCGCGCACACACACACACACAUACACACUUUCUUCCUCACUACCCACUAGCCCAGCUGUGUGAGAGCCCCCUUUGGCAAAUCCUUCUAAGGUUUUUGUAGAACAGUUUUGAUAUCUUCCCAGAAAGCAGCAUUCUAUGCCACUUCCUAUCUAAUACAGAAAGAGAAAAGUAUUUAGGCUAACACUUCAAAUCUCGGAAGAAAAAGCAUAGUCAGCACAGAGAUGACCAAAACAUAGUCCAGGCCCGACAUCACAGCAUAGAAUCUGUGCUCCCCUCUGUAACCAUAAGCAUAAUGGCGCCGUGGUACACAGAUGCUACCCAUGUACUCAGUGGCUAUAUGGCUGUCUUCUGUAACAGCUAAGUCUCAAUUUUCUCAGGAAUCUACUUCGCUCUGUGUGUGCACACUUGUGCCUGUGUGUGUGUGAUCACGUGCACGUACAUAUGUGCAAGCGAGAGCGGAGGUUAGACAUAGAUUUUUUUGGUAUGUACUUCCAAUGUGGUCUACCUUAUUUUCUCUGGGAAAGGGUCUUUAAUUAAUCUGAAACUCUCACAGUCGGCCUGGCUGGCUGGCCAGUGAGCCCCAGGAGUUGACCCAACCUGUAAUUGCCUCCUUAGUAUUGUGGCUAUCAGCACUUAUAACUCUGCACGUGUUUUUAUUAUCAUUAUCCUCGUUAAUUCUUGAACUCUUGGGUCCUCAUGCUUGCCUGACUAGCCCUUUAUGGACUGAAUGUCUCCAGCCUUCAUUUAAAGCUUCACUCUAA